rnacentral:lncRNA from 1 species
GGGGAGGCAAGCCAGUAAUGAACAUCCCUCCAUGGCCUCUGCAUCAGCUCCUGCUUCCUGACAUGCUUGAGUUCCAGUCCUGACUUCUUUAGUGAUGAACAGCAGUAUGGAAGUGUAAGCUGAAUAAGCCCUUUCCUCCCCAACUUGCUUCUUGGUCAUGAUGUUUGUGCAGGAAUAGAAACCCUGACUAAGACAAAUUGGUACCAGCAGAGUGGGGUAUUCCUGUGACAACCUGAUCAUGUUUUGGGGAGGACUGUGGAAGGACUUUGGAACUUUGGGCUUGAAGAUCCAUUCGUUGUUAAGAGCUCUGUCAGAUGUUGUGUAGGAGCUUGGAAGAUAAUGUUGAGAACAGUGCAGAAGAUGGAGGUCUGGUUUGUGAAAUUUCAGAGGGAAAAUUAAAGACUCUUUUCAGGGUCAUUGCUGUUUUGAUUGUGAAGAUUCUGUGGUUCUGGUUAGCUGGGGCUGAAGAAUCAGCUGUGAUUAACAAGAUACCAGAACUACUAAAGC